CACCGCGGUUAUACGAGAGGCCCAAGCUGAUAGCCACCGGCGUAAAGAGUGGUUAGGAAAAAUUAAAACUAAAGCCGAAUACCUUUGAUGCUGUUAUACGCGUUCAAACAUAAGAAGCCCUGUCACGAAAGUAGCUUUACAAAAUCUGAAUCCACGAAAGCCAGGGAA
rnacentral:rRNA from 1 species